rnacentral:rRNA from 1 species
UAGGGAAUCUUCGGCAAUGGACGAAAGUCUGACCGAGCAACGCCGCGCGAGUGAAGAAGGUUUUCGGAUCGUAAAACUCUGUUGUUAGAGAAGAACAAGGACGUUAGUAACUGAACGUCCCCUGACGGUAACUAACCAGAAAGCCACGGCUAACUACGUGCCAGCAGCCGCGGUAAUACGUAGGUGGCAAGCGUUGUCCGGAUUUAUUGGGCGUAAAGCGAGCGCAGGCGGUUUCUUAAGUCUGAUGUGAAAGCCCCCGGCUCAACCGAGGAGGGUCAUUGGAAGCUGGGAGACUUGAGUGCAGAAGAGGAGAGUGGAAUUCCAUGUGUAGCGGUGAAAUGCGUAGAUAUAUGGAGGAACACCAGUGGCGAAGGCGGCUCUCUGGUCUGUAACUGACGCUGAGGCUCGAAAGCGUGGGGAGCAAACAGG